AACGAACGCUGGCGGCAGGCCUAACACAUGCAAGUCGAGCGCGCCCUUCGGGGUGAGCGGCGGACGGGUGAGUAACGCGUGGGAACGUGCCCUUUUCUACGGAAUAGCCUCGGGAAACUGAGAGUAAUACCGUAUACGCCCUUUGGGGGAAAGAUUUAUCGGAAAAGGAUCGGCCCGCGUUGGAUUAGGUAGUUGGUGGGGUAAUGGCCUACCAAGCCGACGAUCCAUAGCUGGUUUGAGAGGAUGAUCAGCCACACUGGGACUGAGACACGGCCCAGACUCCUACGGGAGGCAGCAGUGGGGAAUCUUAGACAAUGGGGGCAACCCUGAUCUAGCCAUGCCGCGUGAGUGAUGAAGGCCUUGGGGUUGUAAAGCUCUUUCAGCUGGGAAGAUAAUGACGGUACCAGCAGAAGAAGCCCCGGCUAACUCCGUG
rnacentral:rRNA from 1 species